UACGCAGGUGGCAAGCGUUAUCCGGAUUUAUUGGGCGUAAAGGGAACGCAGGCGGUCUUUUAAGUCUGAUGUGAAAGCCUUCGGCUUAACCGGAGUAGUGCAUUGGAAACUGGGAGACUUGAGUGCAGAAGAGGAGAGUGGAACUCCAUGUGUAGCGGUGAAAUGCGUAGAUAUAUGGAAGAACACCAGUGGCGAAAGCGGCUCUCUGGUCUGUAACUGACACUGAGGCUCGAAAGCGUGGGGAGCAAACAGG
rnacentral:rRNA from 1 species